CGGCGGACGGGUGAGUAACGCGUAGGAAUCUGCCUGGUAGUGGGGGAUAACUCGGGGAAACUCGAGCUAAUACCGCAUACGCCCCAUGGGGGAAAGCGGGGGACCUUCGGGCCUCGCGCUAUCAGAUGAGCCUGCGUCGGAUUAGCUAGUUGGUGGGGUAAUGGCCUACCAAGGCGACGAUCCGUAGCUGGUCUGAGAGGAUGAUCAGCCACACUGGGACUGAGACACGGUCCAGACUCCUACGGGAGGCAGCAGUGGGGAAUAUUGGACAAUGGGCGAAAGCCUGAUCCAGCCAUGCCGCGUGUGUGAAGAAGGUCUUCGGAUUGUAAAGCACUUUAAGUUGGGAGGAAGGGCAUUAACCUAAUACGUUAGUGUUUUGACGUUACCGACAGAAUAAGCACCGGCUAACUUCGUGCCAGCAGCCGCGGUAAUACGAAGGGUGCAAGCGUUAAUCGGAAUUACUGGGCGUAAAGCGCGCGUAGGUGGUUCGUUAAGUUGGAUGUGAAAGCCCCGGGCUCAACCUGGGAACUGCAUCCAAAACUGGCGAGCUAGAGUAUGGCAGAGGGUGGUGGAAUUUCCUGUGUAGCGGUGAAAUGCGUAGAUAUAGGAAGGAACACCAGUGGCGAAGGCGACCACCUGGGCUAAUACUGACACUGAGGUGCGAAAGCGUGGGGAGCAAACAGGAUUAGAUACCCUGGUAGUCCACGCCGUAAACGAUGUCGACUAGCCGUUGGGAUCCUUGAGAUCUUAGUGGCGCAGCUAACGCAUUAAGUCGACCGCCCUGGGGAGUACGGCCGCAAGGGUUAAAACUCAAAUGAAUUGACGGGGGCCCGCACAAGCGGU
rnacentral:rRNA from 1 species